AUAUGUAACGUGGCUGGCAGAAUAAGCACUCAGCUGUGGUUUUUAUGGUGAAUUUUGUGUUUCAUAUGUCUUCUCUCCAAACUGUUUUUUAAAUUUGCACGAGUAAACCAAGAGAAUUAGCUCUACGUCCAUUCAGAUCCAACGGCGACUUCUAGUGGUGACUUCUACAAAGAUGGGCUUGACUGCAUUUCUUCCUCUACAACUUAUUUGUUAAAAUGAUUUUGUUCUUUAUUAGGUGAAUCUUCUGUUAGUCAAUGAACAACUCAGGUGACUAUAAAAUAAGUUUAAAUCUAAAAAACAUCACUCUUAUUAGUUUUGCUAGUUUGACUUGAACCACUUUGGUAGUGUGUUUCAUUCUGCCAUCUACUGGCCACAACACUGCUGGCAUGAUUUAACAACGCACAACAAUAGUCUGUGGCACAGUACACAAUAGCUUUAAUUUAAAGAAGAAAUACAUUGCAUCCAGCAACGUUACUUUAGUCUUAAUACUUCAGUUUAUUACUGCAGUAUGUUCCGACUUUGCUGUGGUCAGUGAUGGCAGUCUACUUUUAAGCUCAUAGUCCAUUAACAUGUUGGCGUAGUUAAUACUCUUUUUUUCCACUCCAGUUUACCCAUGCGUAGUACAUAUUACUAGGUGUCUGUGUACAACUUCCAAUGGAGUAAGUUGGGAAAACCACACAUUUUCAUGACCUCUACUAACAAUAGUAAUAUUUUACAUGUGUUCCUGCUGUGAUCUUUGACAGUGUGGGCAAGGUUUGUACCUUAUCUGAUCUCUCCCAAAAACAACAUUACAAAUCCCAGCAAGAGUUAGGCAUUCUAAUGUGGAGUAUGAACAAACUGUAUGCCGCGGCUCAAUUGAAUGUUAAGAAGAAGUUCUGAAGAAAAGUAGCUUCAGUUUACUCUCUCAUAUGUUUUCUGCAGAUGAGCUGCAGGAAGGGUAUUGAGUAUUUGAUAAAGUAUACCUUGUGUCUGGAGCUGGGAGAAAAUAGUUCAUUUUCACAAUGUGAAUUGAGCUGUCCAAGAUCAUACCAUGAACGUGUACAUUCUGUUUAAGGGUGAAUUUCCCAAUUCACAUUUCCAGAAUCUAAAUACAUGUGUUAUAUAAAGUCCCAAUAGGAGUAUUUAUUCAUGAGUACAUUUAGACUUCUGUGCAGGUACUGUAUGUGUUUGAAUCCAUAUAAAGUUAAGCUCUCAUUACAACAAUGUAUGGAUUUGGCUCACUGUCAGCAAGCUGUUAACAGCUUCUGAUGCACUGUUACAUAGAGAAAUACACAUAAGAGCAGUGGCAGUAGAGCUGAGGUUGAUAUUUUAAACAUAAAUGUGAGAUGUACCACUUUUAUUUAUUGUUUAUGUCUUAAACAUUGAAGAA